CACGUAGUUAGCCGUGGCUUUCUGGUUAGGUACCGUCAAGGUGCCGCCCUAUUCGAACGGCACUUGUUCUUCCCUAACAACAGAGCUUUACGAACCGAAAUCCUUCAUCACUCACGCGGCGUUGCUCCGUCAGACUUUCGUCCAUUGCGGAAGAUUCCCUACUGCUGCCUCCCGUAGGAGUCUGGGCCGUGUCUCAGUCCCAGUGUGGCCGAUCACCCUCUCAGGUCGGCUACGCAUCGUCGCCUUGGUGAGCCAUUUCCUCACCAACUAGCUAAUGCGCCGCGGGCCCAUCCUGUAGUGAUAGCCGGAGCCAUCUUUUAAUCCGAGUUCAGGUGAACUCGGAAGUUAUCCGGUAUUAGCACCGAUUUCUCGGUGUUAUCCCAGUCUACAGGGCAGGUUGCCCACGUGUUACUCACCCGUCCGCCGCUAACCUCUGGGAGCAAGCUCCCAUUAGUCCGCUCGACUUGCAUGUAUUAGGCACGCCGCCAGCGUUCGUCCUGACGCCAGG
rnacentral:rRNA from 1 species